rnacentral:rRNA from 1 species
UCAAUUAGAGGAAGUAAAAGUCGUAACAAGGUUUCCGUAGGUGAACCUGCGGAAGGAUCAUUAACGAGUUUGAAAUCGAGAGCCUGUUGCUGGUGCGGAAACGCACAUCGUGCACGGCUCCCGUGCUCAAUCCAUUUCAACCCCCUUGUGCACCUUAUCGAAGUCAGUAGUCUUUCUCUUUUUGUUUGGCGGUUGUGUGUGGGAACCUCUUUCUGUUCACUUGGCCGGCGAGGAGAAAUAGAGGGUCGAAAGCUUUGACUUUUCUAUUAAACACUUUGUAUGUCUUGUGGAACGUAUUAGCUCCUUUGUAGGGGCGAAAUAAAUACAACUUUCAACAACGGAUCUCUUGGCUCUCGCAUCGAUGAAGAACGCAGCGAAAUGCGAUAAGUAAUGUGAAUUGCAGAAUUCAGUGAAUCAUCGAAUCUUUGAACGCACCUUGCGCCCCUUGGUAUUCCGAGGGGCAUGCCUGUUUGAGUGUCAUGUUAAUCUCAAACCCCUUGUCUUUUUUGUUGACUUGGUCGGUUUGGACUUGGAGGUGUUGCUGGCGUGUGUCGGCUCCUCUUAAUUGCAUUAGCUGGACUUUGGUUCGCAUUUGACGGUGUAAUAGUAAAGUGUUCGCCGGGCGUGCUUGCCUAACGGGUCUGCUUCUAAUCGUCUUUCGGACAACUCUGUUCAUUUUGACCUUUGACCUCAAAUCAGGUAGGACUACCCGCUGAACUUAAGCAUAUCAAUAAGCGGAGGAAAAGAAACUAACAGGAUUCCCCUAGUAACUGCGAG